rnacentral:tRNA from 1 species
CUAAAGCUAGUUUAACUUAAAAUAAGUGCUUUGGGAGCACUAGUUUCUUAUUCAUUAGGGGCUUUAGA